UGUUGCCACAAAUGAUACUCAUUGCUCCCUCCAGGGCUGUGUUCAUGUUUUUCUCUCCCUGAAUUUCCAUGUCCCCUUCCCACCUAGCCACCCAUGAGGGCCCCAUUAGACACCUCACUGCCAACUCCAGCAGACCUUUCCUGACUUCUCCAGCACUCACUGAUCUCCCUCAGUAUAGCCCCAGCACAUCUGCCUGCCUCGCUUCAAUAUUUUACUGUGUCCUACACAAAGUAUUGUCUCCUCCAACAAGUUAUCAGCGCCUCAGGGACAGGCCUUGUUUCCAACAGCUUUACAACUUAACAGCACCCAUAAGAUAUGACUGGAAACUUGAUGUUUGGGGUCUUCCAGAACUGCUUAUUGAAGUGAACCAAACUUCCCCUACACACACAUACCUCUGUCCAACAACUAAACUAACCACCACCAACUGCAACCAAUUACCUUACACUUGAUGCUAAUAUGGAGAAAAAAGGCACUAAGUUCUAGAGGGUAGAGAAGAAGAAGAGAGGCAGAAGUUUAAGAAGAAUGGGCAUUGCAAAAAGGUUACAACAGUUUUUGGAACAAUUGCCCCAGAUUGAAAACUGAAAACUGGAUAAAAAGAACCCCCACAACAAGGGACAGUCCUGACGAAGGCAGAAGAGGCAGUAAUUCUGGCUGGAGAGGAAAAAAGCCACCUUUGGGAGCAGUGGAUCUUCUCAGCUGGCCAGGCGGGAGCCACCCUAAGUUUCAGCAUUCCAUUACCAGGCAAGAGGAUGAAGGGAG
rnacentral:lncRNA from 1 species